AUUGAACGCUGGCGGCAUGCCUUACACAUGCAAGUCGAACGGUAACAGGUCUUCGGAUGCUGACGAGUGGCGAACGGGUGAGUAAUACAUCGGAACGUGCCCGAGAGUGGGGGAUAACGAAGCGAAAGCUUUGCUAAUACCGCAUACGAUCUCAGGAUGAAAGCAGGGGACCGCAAGGCCUUGCGCUCACGGAGCGGCCGAUGGCAGAUUAGGUAGUUGGUGGGAUAAAAGCUUACCAAGCCGACGAUCUGUAGCUGGUCUGAGAGGACGACCAGCCACACUGGGACUGAGACACGGCCCAGACUCCUACGGGAGGCAGCAGUGGGGAAUUUUGGACAAUGGGCGCAAGCCUGAUCCAGCCAUGCCGCGUGCAGGAUGAAGGCCUUCGGGUUGUAAACUGCUUUUGUACGGGACGAAAAGACUCUGGUUAAUACCUGGGGUCCAUGACGGUACCGUAAGAAUAAGCACCGGCUAACUACGUGCCAGCCGCCGCCGUAAAAC
rnacentral:rRNA from 1 species